GUCCUGUUUCUCUGUCUGCAGGUGCUCUGGGCAUUGCCAUACUGUUCUCUACAAAAGGGGAGCUCUCAAGAGACCUUUGCUAGAAAAAUUGUUCUAGAGGACAUAUCUGUUGAAAGGUUCCCAUCUUUAGACAAGCUCUUCAAGAAUUAUUUAGGAUCAAAUCUCACAGGACCGACUGGGAUGACGAAAACUAAAAGUACAGUUCCUGCAAAAGGACUAGUGUGGAGGAGAGCCAGGAGGUUUUACUGUGUUAGAGGCAUCCAUACACAAUCAGAGGAAGGCAGGCUAUAACUACCCAUCAAAGCUGCAGAGGGAAAAUAAUUAGAGAUAUUAAAUGGAUGGAAUAUUAACUAUUGAAAAGCUGUGUUCUUUCUGAGCUGUCUAAAUUUGUUUGGAUUCCCAAUCAAUGAACUGUGUGUUUCUUUGGAAGUUAUUGUUUGGGAUGCUUUUUCCCAAACGUUAAGAAAUAUGGUUAAAUCUAUGAAAAACAAAGAAACUCAAAUUUAAAAAAUGGUUGAGAACUCUGAAAGAAAAAUCAAAAUUAUUAGUGCAAAUUAAAUAUUGUAUGUAAUUAAAAAGAA
rnacentral:lncRNA from 1 species